rnacentral:rRNA from 1 species
GAUGAACGCUGGCGGCGUGCCUAAUACAUGCAAGUCGAGCGAACAGACGAGGAGCUUGCUCCUCUGACGUUAGCGGCGGACGGGUGAGUAACACGUGGAUAACCUACCUAUAAGACUGGGAUAACUUCGGGAAACCGGAGCUAAUACCGGAUAAUAUAUUGAACCGCAUGGUUCAAUAGUGAAAGACGGUUUUGCUGUCACUUAUAGAUGGAUCCGCGCCGCAUUAGCUAGUUGGUAAGGUAACGGCUUACCAAGGCAACGAUGCGUAGCCGACCUGAGAGGGUGAUCGGCCACACUGGAACUGAGACACGGUCCAGACUCCUACGGGAGGCAGCAGUAGGGAAUCUUACGCAAUGGGCGAAAGCCUGACGGAGCAACGCCGCGUGAGUGAUGAAGGUCUUCGGAUCGUAAAACUCUGUUGUUAGGGAAGAACAAAUGUGUAAGUAACUAUGCACGUCUUGACGGUACCUAAUCAGAAAGCCACGGCUAACUACGUG